GAUGAACGCUGGCGGCGUGCUUAACACAUGCAAGUCGAACGAACCUUCGGGUUAGUGGCGGACGGGUGAGUAACGCGUGGGAAUCUGCCCUCAGGAGGGGGAUAACGGUUGGAAACGGCCGCUAAUACCCCAUAUGCCGAGAGGUGAAAUGAAUUUCGCCUGAGGAUGAGCCCGCGUCUGAUUAGCUAGUUGGUGUAGGUAAUGGCUCACCAAGGCAUCGAUCAGUAGCUGGUCUGAGAGGAUGAUCAGCCACACUGGGACUGAGACACGGCCCAGACUCCUACGGGAGGCAGCAGUGGGGAAUUUUCCGCAAUGGGCGAAAGCCUGACGGAGCAACGCCGCGUGAGGGAUGAAGGCCUCUGGGCUGUAAACCUCUUUUAUCAAGGAAGAAGAUCUGACGGUACUUGAUGAAUAAGCCACGGCUAAUUCCGUG
rnacentral:rRNA from 1 species